AUAUACAUAUUACACGGUUGGCAAUACUGAUACUGUCUUCUCUCUCCAUAGAUACACGAAGACAAGUUAUUGCGUACUGCCAGAGAGUGUUUCCUUAUAUCAGUGAAAAUCGUAUAUAACUAUUAGUCGAUAACUUUUUCAAGCCAAUUAAUUAAAAAAGUGAACAGUGAUAUCAGACGUCUCGUAUCUUCAAUUAAGCCUUGUCUUUUUUUAUUUCGUUACUUUCGCCUCGCUCAUCGGAAUUCAUACGUUUAAAAGUCAUUUAGUUGAAUGCAGUGAACGUUCUAACCAAGGUUACGCGUUAUAUAUGCGUAGGGAAUACAUAUAUACAGUAUCUAUAUAUGUGUAAUAUACCUCAAUAUCGUCAUGCUACGCAUGCGUGAAGUAGAGAUUCGUCAGUUAAAUUACACUGAACGUUUCAGUCAAUCGCAGUAGGAAGUUUCGUCUUGAUAGAUAAAGUUCCUUGUUAAAUGUUAAGAUGGCUAAGGUUCAAAGUUGCGACAAUCCUACACUGAAAUUGACAACCGAGCAGAAGGAAUUCGCAGCAAAAGUUCUAAAUGAACACGACGAAAAUAGAGAAUCCGCCAUCGUGGAGAUUAAACGUUGGAUUCAAGAGAACGAUUUACGCGCACGAACUGAUGAUUUGUUUAUUUUACGAUUUUUGAGAGCUUGCAAAUUUAAUCUCGAGAAGACAAAGACCAAGAUGCGAAAUUAUCAAAUGCAGCGAGCUAAGAUACCGGAAUGGUACGGCAACAGAGAUCCGCUUCAACCAAAAUUGCAAGAAUUACUAGAUUUGGGAAUUUGUUUACCUUUACGAAAAUUGGACAAUGAAGGAAGAAUCAUUAUUCUCGCUCGCCUUGUGCAUAAUCCAGACAUAUUUACAUUAGCGGAUGCACUUAAGGCCUCAUCCAUGUCUCUAGACUUGGCCUUAAGAGACAGCGUUGAAGCAUCCUUGUACGGUUUAGUAAUAAUUAUAGAUUUGCAAUAUGCAACUUUACGUCAUGUUGCUCAAGUGCGGCCUGGUAUUUUAAUGAAUAUGAUCCACGCGUGGCAGGGUUGCUACCCCAUAAGAAUUAAAUUGCUUAAUUAUAUUAACAUACCGGAAUAUGCAAAAUUUAUUAUGAUGUUGACUAGAUUUUUCUUGAGCGAUAAACUGAAACAAAGAUUACACAUUUAUACGCAUAAAACGACGCAUGAAUGUUUUACAAAUAUACCGGCUAAUAUCUUACCUGUUGAAUAUGGCGGCACUGAUGGUACAAUUCAGGAAUUAACAGAAUAUUGGAAGAAAACGCUUGAAGAGAAUCGCGACUGGUUUAUCGACGAUGAAAAGUAUAAACCAGUUUUAUGAAAAGAAUAAAAAUUUUGUGAAUUAAUGUAAUUUCUUUGUGCACAAUUAUUUUUUAUGACCUUUCCUAUUAAAAAGGCAACUAAUGUAUUAACUCGGAAACUAAUACAGUAAUUUAGAAGUCAGAUUCUCUUUUUUCUCUUGAUCGCUCUUAAUUCGAUGAAUAAAGGCGUCUUUAGAUGGAAGCGUUUAGCGUCAAGCGUCGAGCGUCAAAAACACGUGCGCAGCACCCUUGCGCAUAAUUCUGAACAGGCAGAUUCCAGCAUCUUGACGCUAAAACCGCUAAAACAAUGUCUAGUAACAAAAUUUUAAUAAAUACGGUAGAGAUGAUUUACUGACUGCUCCAGCGUUUCAACAAAUCACUAGGCACACUGCGCAUGUCACACUUUUUGACGCUUUAACGCUCGACGCUAAAACGCUCCCAUGUAAAGGCACCUUAAGAAGAUUCAUAUACUCCGUAGAAUUUUUAGUCGAGGGCUACAGUACAUUUUGAUUAUAACUAUUUUCAUCUUACGUUCGAAAUCAUUCGUUUGUUCUGCUAACAGUUUAAUAAUUAAUAAGAUCUUGAGGACGAAAUUCUUGGAUUAACUUAGAUUUGCAUUGAGUUA